GGUGACUCGGCGGGCGGAGGGCGGGGUAAUACGGAGGGUGGAAGCGUUAUACGGAUGUAUUGGGGUUAAAGGGUCCGUAGGCGGACCUGUAAGGCAGUGGUGAAAUAUCAUAGCUUAACUAUGAAACUGCCAUUGAUACUGCAGGUCUUGAGUAAAUGUGAAGUGGCUGGAAUAAGUAGUGUAGCGGUGAAAUGCAUAGAUAUUACUUAGAACACCAAUUGCGAAGGCAGGUCACUAAGAUUUAACUGACGCUGAUGGACGAAAGCGUGGGUAGCGAACAGGAUUAGAUACCCGGUAGUC
rnacentral:rRNA from 1 species